rnacentral:rRNA from 1 species
CCUACGGGAGGCAGCAGUGAGGAAUAUUGGUCAAUGGACGAGAGUCUGAACCAGCCAAGUAGCGUGAAGGAUGACUGCCCUAUGGGUUGUAAACCUCUUUUAUAAAGGAGUAAAACCAGGCACGUGUGCCUUUUUGCAUGUACCUUAUGAAUAAGGAUCGGCUAACUCCGUGCCAGCAGCCGCGGUAAUACGGAGGAUCCGAGCGUUAUCCGGAUUUAUUGGGUUUAAAGGGGGCGUAGGGGGGUUGUCAAGUCAGCUGUGAAAGUUUGCGGGUCAACCGUAAAAUUGCAAUUGAUACUGGCAGUCUUGAGUACAGUUGAGGUAGGCGGAAUUCGUGGUGUAGCGGUGAAAUGCAUAGAUAUCACGAAGAACCCCGAUUGCGAAGGCAGCUUACU